rnacentral:ncRNA from 1 species
UUUAUAAUUAAAAAUUUAAUUUUAGUUUAUAAAUUAAUUAAAAUAUUUAAAUAAAUAUAAAUUUAAAAAUUUAUUAAUUUUAAUAGUAAAAAAAAAAAUUUAUUAUUUAAAAUUAUUAUAAAAAAAAAAUUUUUUUUUAUAGAAAUUAUAUUGAAUAUUGAAUAAUUUAGUGCCAGCAUUAGCGGUUAGACUUAAGUAUAUAAAUUAAUUGAUUUCAAAUUUUAAUUUUUUUUUAUAAUAAAUAUUUAAAAUAAUUAAAUUAUGGUGGAAUAAAUUUAAUAAAAUUAUUAUAGUUAAAUUUAUAUAUAUAUUAAAAAGGUAUAUUAAAAACUAGGAUUAGAUACCCUAUUAUUAUAUUUAAAUUUAAAAUUUAAUUAUUAAAUGUAAAACAUUAAAUUUAAAAAAUUUGGCGGUAUUUUAUAAAAUUAGGGGAAUUUGUAAUAUAAUUGAUAUUCCACGAUAGGAUAAACUUAAUAUAUUAAUUUAUGUAUGUUUGUUUAAAAAAUAUUAAAAAAUAAUUUUUAUAUAAAUUUAUAUAAAAUUAAUAAUUCAGAUCAAUAUGUAGUAUUAUUAAGAAAUUAUGAAUUACAAUUUAAAUAAUAAUUGGAUUUUAAAAUUUAAUUUUUAAAUAAAAUAGGAUUUAAAAGUAAAAUUAUUAAAUUUAAUAAUUUGAUUAAAAAUUAAAGUAUGUACAAAUUGCCCGUCACUUCUAUAAAAGAAUAAGUCGUAACAAAGUAAAUAUAUUGGAAAAUGUAUUUAGAUUAAUAUUUAUAUAAUAUU